UACGUAGGCAGCGAGCGUUGUUCGGAUUUACUGGGCGUACAGGGAGCGUAGGCGGUUGGAUAAGCCCUCCGUGAAAUCUCCAGGCUUAACCUGGAAAGUGCAGAGGGGACUGUUCAGCUAGAGGAUGGGAGAGGAGCGCGGAAUUCCCGGUGUAGCGGUGAAAUGCGUAGAGAUCGGGAGGAAGGCCGGUGGCGAAGGCGGCGCUCUGGAACAUUUCUGACGCUGAGGCUCGAAAGCGUGGGGAGCAAACAGG
rnacentral:rRNA from 1 species